UGGGGAAUAUUGCGCAAUGGGCGAAAGCCUGACGCAGCAACACCGCGUGAGGGAUGACGGCCUUCGGGUUGUAAACCUCUUUCAGCUCCGACGAAGCGAAAGUGACGGUAGGAGCAGAAGAAGCACCGGCUAACUACGUGCCAGCAGCCGCGGUAAUACGUAGGGUGCAAGCGUUGUCCGGAAUUAUUGGGCGUAAAGAGCUCGUAGGCGGUCCGUUGCGUCUGCCGUGAAAACCCGGAGCUCAACUCCGGGCCUGCGGUGGAUACGGGCGGACUAGAGUCCGGUAGGGGAGACUGGAAUUCCUGGUGUAGCGGUGGAAUGCGCAGAUAUCAGGAGGAACACCAGUGGCGAAGGCGGCUACCUGGACCAGUUCUGACGCUGAGGCGCGAAAGCGUGGGGAGCAAACAGGAUUAGAUACCCUGGUAGUCCACGCCGUAAACGGUGGGCGCUAGGUGUGGGAUCGUUUCCACGAUCUCCGUGCCGUAGCUAACGCAUUAAGCGCCCCGCCUGGGGAGUACGGCCGCAAGGCU
rnacentral:rRNA from 1 species